rnacentral:rRNA from 1 species
UACACUCCUGCGGGAGGCAGCAGUGGGGAAUAUUGGCCAAUGGGCGCAAGCCUGAUCCAGCCAUGCCGCGUGAGUGAUGAAGGCCCUAGGGUUGUAAAGCUCUUUCACCGGUGAAGAUAAUGACGGUAACCGGAGAAGAAGCCCCGGCUAACUUCGUGCCAGCAGCCGCGGUAAUACGAAGGGGGCUAGCGUUGUUCGGAUUUACUGGGCGUAAAGCGCACGUAGGCGGACUAUUAAGUCAGGGGUGAAAUCCCGGGGCUCAACCCCGGAACUGCCUUUGAUACUGGUAGUCUUGAGUUCGAGAGAGGUGAGUGGAAUUCCGAGUGUAGAGGUGAAAUUCGUAGAUAUUCGGAGGAACACCAGUGGCGAAGGCGGCUCACUGGCUCGAUACUGACGCUGAGGUGCGAAAGCGUGGGGAGCAAACAGGAUUAGAAACCCGAGUAGUCCCAUGA